rnacentral:lncRNA from 1 species
CCGAGAGGAACAAUUACCAAGGAAGGAUACCCAGUCUACGUGGCCAGUGUCCCAGGAUCCAAAGAUUUUGUGGAUGUGACCGGGCCCUUCGUGAAAGACAGGAGAGUCAAGCUAGAAUAUGAAAACAGUUGCUCUGUGUACUGUCACGUAGCCAAGAAGACCUAUGUGGCUCUCACUCACACCGUGAACGGCACAGGUGAUCUUUCUUCGGUCUCCGUUAAGGUCAGGGGGUUGGCAGCCUUCAAAAGUAUGCGCUCCCCAUGUGAUUCUGCGGUAACGGACACCUUCAUAGCGUGCGUGAUGAGGGGAGACUGUAUCAAACUGGAGAGGGACCAGCUCUCGUGCUUUUCCACCUCCCCGUGGCACCAACUUAGGACCGGAGACGUAAUCCUGUACCUGGAACAUGAACCCAGUGUGAACGGUCUCGGUCAGUGGUUGGAACUGAAUCAAGCUGGCACGUUUCUUAUUGCUUACAGAGUGGAAAAUGUCACUACGUUGCAACUGGACUCUGGUUUCUCUGCGGUGUCUACGAGACUCGUCUCCGUGCGUGGCUACGAACCGGGAAAGCAUAAUACUCUCACGGUGAGAACGCUGUACAAGGACUGGAAAUACUGUAUGAACCACAUGUUCUCAAGCACCCAGGCCAUCCUCAGAGACCUGCUUGCGUGCAAAGCGGCUGAACUCAUCGCCUCCAAGAUGGGAGCGGGGUUCUUCCCUUGGAGCAGUCUCAUCAAAUCCGCAAAGAACAAGCGCUUUAGUCAACAAACGCUGGAUCGCUUGAAAGUGGGCAACUCCAGCGUAAAAACCACAUACGUGGAAAUUGUAAAGACGUGGCUACAACAGAUCACAGGACUGUCCAUAAAGCCUGUAGAGUGCAACGAGUAUCACAAGUGUAACCCUUGCGAAGCUGCUUUUUACAGAUACCCGUUGAACCUACAGGCCGAAAGAGGAUGUAUCAUGGCGAUGUUCGGAGGCUCGCUCAUGUGCGAGGUCAAGCGCUCCGGAUCGCGUGAAGUCUCUGAAAAAGAUAAUGGGUAUGAUUUCGAACGUGGAUCCGAAAAUGAAAGUGAUGACAACUCGGACGAUCAUCAAGGACAGCACCAGGGAAC